UAUUUAAAUAAUAACGUUAUUUUCAGAGAAACCGACAAACAAAAUGGCACCCGCAAUUCACCCACCCUGCACCCCGAGUGCAUCAUGCACGAAGGGGCAACCCUUACGUUGCCAUCCCUCGGUACCUCCGUGCACCCGACCAGAACAAUGUCUAGCGAGGACCACCAAAUUGGGCAUAAGGCCUUGCCAAAGUGCAGUCUCCAUCAUGGCUACAAGAUCCUUGAGCACAUGUGGCUAUUGUAAAAAGUAUUCAGAUGGCGGUUCAGGCAGAAGCAUUGACGCUUCAAAUCCACGAAACACUGCCCAGAUUGAAAAAUACCUUAGGAGAAAGAGUAGGGAGGCAAAAUUAAGAAAGUACGAUAGGCUGCAUGGAACGCAUAGAUAUUUGAAAUACCAAAGAUCGAAGGGAACACCGCGGUCUGAAAGGGAAUGUUGUGCUGGAAAAGGGCACAGGGGCAGGCUCAGGCGGGCGGGCUGCCGGCAUUGCUGCGCGAAGUGCUGCACCCCUGCCUGCCGCCAGAACUGCCAGGAGUGCUGCGACGAGUGUUGCUGUCCGUGCUGCGGGACUUACUGCAGUCGCUAUUGCACAAUACUCUAACGUCCAUAAACCAUGUCCAGUAGCCAGUUCAAGCCGACGCAUCUGCCAAUAUUGUUCUCAAUUAUCCAUUUUAUUUCCCCAGUUACAGUAAAUUUAUUAAAAUCAUCUUUACGUGU